rnacentral:misc_RNA from 1 species
GAUGAAGAACGCAGCAAAAUGCGAUAAGUAAUGUGAAUUGCAGAAUUCAGUGAAUCAUCGAAUCUUUGAACGCACAUUGCGCCCGCCAGUACUCUGGCGGGCAUGCCUGUCCGAGCGUCAUUUCAACCCUCAGGGCCCUCCAGCAGGGCGCUGGUGUUGGGGAUCGGCAGUCCCAGCGGCUGCCGUCCCUGAAAUGUAGUGGCGGUCCCACCGUGACCUCCCCUGUGCAGUGCAUCGCUCGCAGAGGGACAGCGGUGCGGCCACGCCGUAAAACGCCCAACUCUUCAAGGUUGACCUCGGAUCAGGUAGGACUACCCGCUGAACUUAAGCAUAUCAAUAAGCGGAGGA